GUAUUCAUUUUGGCAGCACAUACACUAACAAUGCAACAAUACAGAGAAGAUUAGCAUGGCUCCUGUGCAAUGAUAAUACACAUUCAUGAUGUGUUCUUUAUUUUU
ensembl:snRNA U6 U6 spliceosomal RNA